AUACGGAGGAUCCGAGCGUUAUCCGGAUUUAUUGGGUUUAAAGGGAGCGUAGGUGGAUUGUUAAGUCAGUUGUGAAAGUUUGCGGCUCAACCGUAAAAUUGCAGUUGAAACUGGCAGUCUUGAGUACAGUAGAGGUGGGCGGAAUUCGUGGUGUAGCGGUGAAAUGCUUAGAUAUCACGAAGAACUCCGAUUGCGAAGGCAGCUCACUAGACUGUUACUGACACUGAUGCUCGAAAGUGUGGGUAUCAAACAGGAUUAGAUACCCUGGUAGUCCACACAGUAAACGAUGAAUACUCGCUGUUUGCGAUAUACAGUAAGCGGCCAAGCGAAAGCGUUAAGUAUUCCACCUGGGGAGUACGCCGGCAACGGUGAAACUCAAAUGAAUUGGCGGGG
rnacentral:rRNA from 1 species